rnacentral:rRNA from 1 species
AGAUAAGAUUUCCCGUGGGGUAACCCACCUGAAGGCUCGUCGAAGACUACGACGUUGAUAGGCUAGGUGUGGAAGUGUGGUAACACAUGGAGCUAACUAGUACUAAUCAGCCGUGCGGCUUGGUCAU